ACAGGUUUUGUUUUUUUUCUGUCAUGACCUGUUUUAGUUUUACAUAGAAAUCGGUGGUGGUGAGUGAGAGUGAGGGUGGGAGGAUGAUGAACAGAUUGACAGAGAAACUCCGGAUGGAGGAAAACUUCUAGGUCCCUGGACCAGCAUCCCUAAGGGGCUCGUGGAGUGGGGAUUAUGAUGCACAUUCGAGGGGGAGGAAACUGCACCCCGUUUUCCACAGCAGCUGCACCCUUUUCUGUUCCCACCAGCCAUGCAGAAGGGUUCCUGAAUCUCCACAUCCUUGCCAACACUUGUCACAGUCUGUCUCUUUUUUAAAUUUUAGGAUAGCCAUCCUAAUAAGUAUGUUAAGUGGUAACUCCUGGUGGUUGUGAUUUGUGUUUCCCUAAUGAUGAGUGAUGCUGAGCAUCUUUUAAGGUACUUGUUGGCCACUUGUACAUCUUCUUUGGAGAAAUGUUUUUGGUUGACGUUGACUUGUAGGAGGUCUUUAUAGUUUCUGGAUAUGAAUCCCUUUUCAGGUAGGCGAUUUAUAGGUAUUUCUCUCUCAUUCUUUGGGUUGGCUUUUCACUCUCUUGAAAGUGUCCGUGGAUGCACAGGGGCGUUUCAUUUUGAUGAAGUCGGUCUUAUUUAUUUUUUCUUCUAUUGCUGUGCUCUUGGUGGGAGCUGCAUACAGUUGUGCCAAGCUUAGCCAGGGCCAUCCAGCUGGCAGUGGCAGAGCCUGUGUCCCAACCACGUGCUCUACCAGAAUGUCUGUGCUUUGAAUUCCAGUGGCCAGUGUCUGCCCUGGGUUGAGAUCUCCGUCCAGCGCUCUCGUUCAUCUUGUCAGCAGCUUUGUCAGGAGGAUACUCUCACCCCAUUUCCCAGCAGUGGAGGGGAGCUCUCAGCAACCUGGACCCUGGCAGAGACUCACCAGCAUUCCGACUUACCACGUGCCUGUCAGAGUCCUCUUUGGGAGUUGUGCUUCCCACCCAACAAAUGACCAGCAGACAUUUUUGGUGUCACAGAAAUGGGGAGCGAGUUUCCUGUAGCUUCAACAGUUAGUCCCUGGUGGGCUCUUGUUCUCUACGAAAGAAGAUGGCAUCACAAGCGUCGUCGCAAACCACCUCCCGUCCGCCCCCCACCCUGUGUAGGAACCCCAAUGUGACCCAAGGUCGAAUUGCAUCUUUUUUUCUAGUGUCCCCCAACUAUACCCCCCCCUGGUGUUCUCCCUCAGAACUAAUGCUUAUUCUGAGUUUUGGUGUUUAUGAUGUCCUUGCUUAAAAAUGCUUUCCCCUCAGUAUGAUGUGGCUUACUUUUUCCACUCGAGUUUGACAAACGUUUGCACCGUGUGCAGCUUGCUUUUCUCCUCGAUAGAUGCUCAGUGCGUGUGGAUGCCUGGCUCUGUGGUCUCUUUCUCACUGCAGUCACCCUUUCCAUUGUGUGAACAGCCCACCGUGUAUUUAUCAGCUCUCCAAAGACAUGUGAGUUGUGGGCAGUUUUUAUUACUGUUAUUUUUUAACCCCCCCACACCCCAAGGACAGACAGAGCUGCCGUGAGCGUUCUUAUACACCUGGUCGCAUGUGCCGGCGUUUCGGGCUUAGGCGAUAGGACUCAAGGCUUCUUUGGGGUUUUCUUGGGCUCCUGGACUCUCAGCAUCAGAAGGGGCACCUUUGGCCGGGGACUGUUGACCCUCAUCGGUAAUCUGAAACGACAUGCUGUUGGAGCAGGAGUCCUGGAACGGGAUGGCCACGGAUUCACUCUUCCCUUUGCCCCGUUCUGUGACUUAGUCCUUUGUGCAGUGAACUUAACUUGGCCUGUUUCCUCAGCAGGAACCGGGAUGAAAGGUCUGCAUCAUUGCGUCAUUUGGAAGUUUAAAUGAGAUAGGGCACCUUGAUUAACUCACAAGGCGGGGGUGAUAACAGCUCUGAGUGAGUAAGCGCUCCCUGUCUUUAGCAUUGUUCCCUGUGGGCCUUUAAGGAUCUCUUCUACCUGCCGCAGCCUGAUGCUGGGGUCCAAACAGAUGCCCUGAGGGUCAUGACUCAGAGAAGGCUGCCCCUUGGCGGUGGGAUGGGUGGGAUUGGGAAAGAGGCCUGGGUCAGGUUACCUGUUCUCGACGUGGGCCCUGGAUUCCAGGCAGGUGCACAGUCCCUCCGGCUGGAUCACUGCUCUCUGCCAGGCGAUCUUGACCUGCCCAGGUGGGAUUUCGCCCUCUUCCCAUCUGUGCUUCCCAGGCUUUUCUUCAUGGAAUGUAGGAAUGCAGGGCACCUCCUCCAGUGGAGGUGUGUUUACAAUGGCCCUCAGCUUAGAUACCCCCGCCAGGAUAAGCCGUUCUGAAACAGAUAAACUGAUUGCAGUGGAAGAGGAUCAGCCUCCAGCUGCGAUCUUCCCACACUGCUGCCUGUUUCACAUUCCAGCCCGCAGGCAGGUAGGUCCCUCUGCCAGGAGUGGGACCCAUUUCAUCAGCAAGAUUUAUUCAUUCAUUAUGGCUUAGACCCAGGGCCUGGGCUUUUUAGAGCCGGGGGCUCUGCCUGGCUUUUCGAGUCAUCCUAAUACUUGGUAGCAGAGGCCACCCAAAGCCACAGAUAGUCGCUCACCUGAGAGAGAAGCAUAGACAAAGAGCAUAAUGAUAAGAGUGCAGUCUUUUCUCAGUUUGAGGUCUACCUGCACCUGUAAAAGUCUCAGAUCUCCCUGGGGAAAUUGCCGUCUUGACUCUUAGUUUGCUCAUCUGUAAAAUCAGGUAGUAAGUAAGUAGUAUUCUUGAAAGAGAUUUUGUGCAUUAACAGCUUCCCCCAGAACCAGCCUAUCGUAGGUGCUUACUAAGCGCUGCUUAUGAGUAUCCAGCUGGGCCCUGAGCCCUGAGUAGGCACAUGAGUGCUGGGCCUCUAGCCUGCAGGGGAUCAGGAAAUGUGGGCUGAGAGUGAAGGUGUUGAGUGCUUUCCCGUUGGAAAAGCCCAGUGGUACGCGUCGCUUCAUUUCUUAAAUUUCCAGCUUUGGCGUUUAAGGAUCCAUGCAGGAGCCCUGUCUCUGCAAAGUGACGUUCGUUGCUUCCUUCCUUGAUGUCCUCAUCUGCAGAAUCCUAUCAGCUCACAUGUAAAUAGCUCCCCCUGUGAUCUGCACUCUGCCUCAUAUCCAAUCCAUGCAUUUAAUUCUUACAACAGUGUUAAUCUCCCCACUUUACUGAUGGGAAGACUGAGGCAGGAAAGUAAGUGACUGUCCACGGUAACAGCUAAUGUGUAGCAGGAUUGGAGCCAUGAUUUGAAGCCUGCUUUUAGAAUCUCUGUGUCUAGGAGAUCCUGUUGUGGCUCAGGGGGUUAAGAACCUGACACAGUGUCCCCGAGGAUGCUGGUUUGAUCCCUGGCCUCAUUCAGUGGGUUAAGGCUCUGGCAUGGCUGCAAGCUGGGGUGUAGGUUGCAGAUGUGAUUGGGAUCCAGUGUAGCCACGGCUGCGGCAUAGGCCGGCAGCCGCAGCUCUGAUUCAACCCCUAUCCCGGGACCUU
rnacentral:lncRNA from 9 species